CAGAGACUGCAAGCGUUAUUCGGAUUCACUGGGCGUAAAGGGUGCGCAGGCGGCCGUGUGUGUGAGGCGUGAAGGCCCGAUGCUUAACAUCGGAAUUGCACCUCAAACUACAUGGCUAGAGCAUUGGAGAGGGUAGCGGAAUUCACGGUGUAGCAGUGAAAUGCGUAGAUAUCGUGAGGAACACCAGAGGCGAAGGCGGCUACCUGGACAAUUGCUGACGCUCAGGCACGAAAGCGUGGGGAGCAAAAGGGAUUAGAUACCCCUGUAGUCCACGCCCUAAACGGUGCACACUAGGUCUUGGCGGAUUCGACCCCACCAGGGCCCAAGCUAACGCGUUAAGUGUGCCGCCUGAGGACUACGGCCGCAAGGCUA
rnacentral:rRNA from 1 species